GAAUAUUGCACAAUGGGCGCAAGCCUGAUGCAGCGACGCCGCGUGAGGGAUGACGGCCUUCGGGUUGUAAACCUCUUUCAGCAGGGAAGAAGCUUUCGGGUGACGGUACCUGCAGAAGAAGCACCGGCUAACUACGUGCCAGCAGCCGCGGUAAUACGUAGGGUGCGAGCGUUGUCCGGAAUUAUUGGGCGUAAAGAGCUUGUAGGCGGUUUGUCGCGUCUGCUGUGAAAAUCCGGGGCUCAACUCCGGACUUGCAGUGGGUACGGGCAGACUAGAGUGUGGUAGGGGAGACUGGAAUUCCUGGUGUAGCGGUGGAAUGCGCAGAUAUCAGGAGGAACACCGAUGGCGAAGGCAGGUCUCUGGGCCAUUACUGACGCUGAGAAGCGAAAGCAUGGGGAGCGAACAG
rnacentral:rRNA from 1 species